rnacentral:rRNA from 1 species
UACGUAGGGUGCAAGCGUUGUCCGGAAUUAUUGGGCGUAAAGGGCUCGUAGGCGGUCCAUCGCGUCGGGAGUGAAAAGCUGGGGCUUAACCCCAGUCCUGCUUCCGAUACGGGUGGACUAGAGGUAGGUAGGGGAGAACGGAAUUCCUGGUGUAGCGGUGAAAUGCGCAGAGAUCAGGAAGAACACCCGUGGCGCAAGCGGCCACCUGGCAGAGUUCUGACGCUGAGGCACGAAAGCGUGGGGAGCGAACCGG